rnacentral:rRNA from 1 species
UACGUAGGGUGCGAGCGUUGUCCGGAAUUAUUGGGCGUAAAGGGCUCGUAGGCGGUUUGUCGCGUCGGGAGUGAAAACCAGGUGCUUAACACCUGGCUUGCUUUCGAUACGGGCAGACUAGAGGUAUUCAGGGGAGAACGGAAUUCCUGGUGUAGCGGUGAAAUGCGUAGAUAUCGGGAGGAACACCAGUGGCGAAGGCGACUACCUGGCCCAUUCUUGACGCUGAGGCGCGAAAGCUAGGGGAGCGAACGGG